rnacentral:rRNA from 1 species
UUAAAUUGAAGAGUUUGAUCAUGGCUCAGAUUGAACGCUGGCGGCAGGCCUAACACAUGCAAGUCGAACGGUAACAGGAAUCAGCUUGCUGAUUCGCUGACGAGUGGCGGACGGGUGAGUAAUGUCUGGGAAACUGCCUGAUGGAGGGGGAUAACUACUGGAAACGGUAGCUAA